CUUUACAUAAGGGAUGUGGAACUAUUAAAAAUAAUAAGCUAUAAUGAAUCAUAAAUACUAAAACAAAUGGAUAUUUUCGCCGUUGGCAAUAUGCUACAAGCAAAUAUAACGCCAGAUGAAAUUAUUUCGUUGUUGGAACAUUUCCAAUAUGAAAAUAUUGAUGAAAUAGUAUCCCAAUUUGGAAAAAUCCACCUUAUUAAUUGGGAAAAAAAGGAAAUAACUAUAGAGUUUUGGUCAGAAGUUUUGAUGUAUAAGGAUGCUGGCCAAAACAAAGCUUUCGAGCAACUGGCAUUAUUUGCUUUGCACAUUCUUUCACUGCCAUGGUCGAAUGCUGCGGUUGAGAGGGUAUUCAGCCAAAUGAACAUGGUCAAAACAAAGUUGCGCAACAAAAUGAAUUUAAAAAGCUUGAACGCAAUUUUAAGAAUAAGAUAUGGACUGCGACGUCAUGGCAAAUGUUGCCAUGACUACAUACUUCCAACGAAAUACAUCGCUUUAGUCAGCUCAUCCGCUAAAUAUAUGGAAUCGAAUGAUGAAGUCGAUGAAAUUAUUUCUUUGCUCUAAUAGCUAUAUAAAUAUAAUAUCAAUAAAAGUAAAA